rnacentral:rRNA from 1 species
GAUGAACGCUGGCGGCGUGCCUAAUACAUGCAAGUCGAGCGAACAGACGAGAGUGCUUGCACUCUCUGACGUUAGCGGCGGACGGGUGAGUAACACGUGGGUAACCUACCUAUAAGACUGGGAUAACUUCGGGAAACCGGAGCUAAUACCGGAUAAUAUUUAGCUUCGCAUGAAGCAAUAGUGAAAGACGGUUCUGCUGUCACUUAUAGAUGGACCCGCGGUGUAUUAGCUAGUUGGUGAGGUAACGGCUCACCAAGGCGACGAUACAUAGCCGACCUGAGAGGGUGAUCGGCCACACUGGGACUGAGACACGGCCCAGACUCCUACGGGAGGCAGCAGUAGUGAAUCUUCCGCAAUGGACGAAAGUCUGACGGAGCAAUGCCGCGUGAGUGAAGAAGGUUUUCGGAUCGUAAAACUCUGUUGUAAGGGAAGAACAAGUACGUUAGUAACUGAACGUACCUUGACGGUACCUUACCAGAAAGCCACGGCUAACUACGUG